GACGAACGCUGGCGGCGUGCUUAACACAUGCAAGUCGAACGGAAAGGCCCUGCUUUUGUGGGGUGCUCGAGUGGCGAACGGGUGAGUAACACGUGAGUAACCUGCCCUUGACUUUGGGAUAACUUCAGGAAACUGGGGCUAAUACCGGAUAGGAGCUCCUGCUGCAUGGUGGGGGUUGGAAAGUUUCGGCGGUUGGGGAUGGACUCGCGGCUUAUCAGCUUGUUGGUGGGGUAGUGGCUUACCAAGGCUUUGACGGGUAGCCGGCCUGAGAGGGUGACCGGCCACAUUGGGACUGAGAUCCGGCCCAGACUCCUACGGGGGGCAGCAGUGGGGAAUAUUUCACAAUGGGCGGAAGCCUGAUGCAGCAACGCCUCGUGCGGGAUGACGGCCUUCGGGUUGUAAACCGCUUUCGCCUGUGACGAAGCGUGAGUGACGGUAAUGGGUAAAGAAGCACCGGCUAACUACGUG
rnacentral:rRNA from 1 species